rnacentral:rRNA from 1 species
GUAGGUGGCAAGCGUUGUCCGGGAAUUAUUGGGGCGUAAAGCGCGCGCAGGCGGUUCUUUAAGUCUGAUGUGAAAGCCCACGGGCUCAACCGUGGAGGGUCAUUGGAAACUGGAGAACUUGAGUACAGAAGAGGAAAGCGGAAUUCCACGUGUAGCGGUGAAAUGCGUAGAGAUGUGGAGGAACACCAGUGGCGAAGGCGGCUCUCUGGUCUGUAACUGACGCUGAGGCGCGAAAGCGUGGGGAGCAAACAGGAUUAGAUACCCUGGUAGUCCACGCCGUAAACGAUGAGUGCUAAGUGUUAGGGGGUUUCCGCCCCUUAGUGCUGCAGCUAACGCAUUAAGCACUCCGCCUGGGGAGUACGGCCGCAAAGGCUG